rnacentral:rRNA from 1 species
UCGCUCUACGGGGGGCAGCAGUAGGGAAUCUUCCACAAUGGGCGAAAGCCUGAAGCAGCAACGCCGCGUGGAGGAUGUAGGUUUUCGGAUUGUAAACUCCUUUUGUUAGAGAAGAUAAUGACGGUAUCUAACGAAUAAGCACCGGCUAACUCCGUGCCAGCAGCCGCGGUAAUACGGAGGGUGCAAGCGUUACUCGGAAUCACUGGGCGUAAAGAGCGCGUAGGCGGGAUAGCAAGUCAGAUGUGAAAUCCUAUGGCUUAACCAUAGAACUGCAUUUGAAACUGUUAUUCUAGAGUAUGGGCGAG